rnacentral:ncRNA from 10 species
AUCGUUCAAUCUGCAGAAGCAGAUCGGAAGUAGGUAUUAACCGAAGGAACGCGGA